rnacentral:lncRNA from 1 species
CAAACACUGCUAUGUGAUGUUUGCAUUCAAGUCACAGAGUGCAACAUUCCUCUUGACAGAGCAGUUGGGAAACACUCCUUUUGUAGAAUUUGCAAUGGGAUAUUUGGACUUCUUUGAGGCCUUCGUUGGAAACGGGAUUUCUUCGUAUAAAUCUAGACAGAAGAAUUCUCAGAAACUUCUUUGUGAUGUGUGCAUUCAACUCAGCGAGUGGCACCUUCCUUUGGAUACAGCAGUUUUGAAACACUGUUUUUGUAGUAUUUCCAAGCGGAUAUUUAGAGCGCCUUGAAGCCUAUGCUAGAAAUGGAAAUAUCUCCCCAUAAAACCAAGACAGAAGCAAUCUCAGAAACUAAUGUGUGAUGGCUGCAUUCCACACACACGGUGGACCAUUUCUCUUGAUAGAGCAGUUUUGAAACACUCUUUCUGUAGAAUCUGCAAGUGGAUAAUUGGACCUCCUAGAGGCCUUCGUUGGAAACGGGAUUUCUCCAUCUAAACCUACAGAGAAGAAUUCUCAGUAACUUCAUCGGAUGUGUGCAUUCGACUCACAGAAUGGAACAUUCCCUUUGAUAGAGCAGUUUUGAGACACCGUUUUUGUAGAAUUCCCAAGUGGAUAUUUAGAGCACUUUGAAGUCUCUGCUAGAAAAGGAAACAUCUUCAUGUAAAAAGUAGAUAGAAUCGUUCUCAGAAAGUGCUUAGUGACGUGUGCGUUCAACUCACAGAGUGUAACGUUUCUUUUGAUAGAGCGUUUCUGAAACACCCUUCUUGUAGUAGCUGCAAGUGGAUAUUUGGACCUAUUGGAGGCCUUCUUUGGAAACGGGAUUUCUUCAUGUAACUCUAGAUUGAAGAAUUCUCAGAAACUCCUUUGUGAUGUGUGCAUUCAAUUCAAAGAGUGAAACCUCCCUUUUCACAGAGCAGUUUGGAAACACUGUUUUUGUAGGAUUUCCAAGGGGAUAUUUAUAGCGCAUUGAGCCUACGGCAGAAAAAGAAACAUCUUCCUAUAAAAACUAGACAGAAUAAUUCUCAGAAUCUGCUUUGUGAUGUGUGCGUUCAACUCAUAGAGUAAAACUUUUCUUUUGAUAGAGCAGUUUUGAAACACUCUUUUUGUAAUAUUUGCAUGUGUAUAUUUAGAGCGCAUUGAAGCCCACAGUAGAAAAGGAAAUAACUUCACCUAAAACCUAGACAGAAGCAAUCUCAGAAACUACUUUGUGAUGUGUACAUUCAACUCACAGAGUGGAACUUUCCUCUUUAUAGAGCAGUGUUGAAACACUCUUUUUGUAGAAACUGCAGGUGGAUAUUUGGACCUCUUUGAGGCCCUCGUUGGAAACGGGAUUUCUUCCUAUAACCCUAGACAGAAGAAUUUUCAGAAACCUCAUUGUGAUGUGUGCGUUCAUCUCACAGAGUGGAGUCUUCCGUUUGAUAGAGAAGUUUUGAAACCCUGUUCUUGUAGGAUUUCCAAGUGGAUAUUUAGACCACUUUGAAGCCUAUGAUAGAAAAGGAAACAUCUUCAUGGAAAACAUAGAUAGAAUCAUUCUCAGAAACAACUUUGUGAUGUGUGCGUUGAACUCACCGUCUUUAAACUUUCUUUUGGUAGAGAAGUUUUGAAACACUCUCUUUGUAAAGUCUACAAGUGGAUAUUUUGAGCCCUUGGAGGCAUUCUUUGGAAAAGGGAAUGUCUUCACGUAAAAGGCAGACAGAAGUGUUCUCAGAAACUGCUUUGUGAUGUCUGUGUUCAACUCACAGAGUUUAACAUUUCCUUUGAUAGAGCAGUUUAGUAACACUGUCUUUGUAGAAUUUGGAAGUGUAUACUAAGAGCGCUUUGAGUUCUAUGGUAGAAAAGGAAAUAUCUUUGCAUAAAAGCUAGACAGAAGCAAUCUCAGAAACUCCUUUGUGAUGUCUGCAUUCAACUCACCGAGUGGAACAUUCCUCUUGAUAGAGCAGUUUGGAAACGCUCUUUCUGUAGAAUCAGCUUGUUUGUAUUUGGACCACCUUGAGGCCUUCGUUGGAAACGGGUUUUCAUCUUAUAAACCCAGACAGAAGAAUUCUCAGAGUCUUCUUUGUGAUGUGUGCUUUCAACUCACCGAGAUAAAGAUUUCUCUUGAUAGAGCAAUUUGGAAACACUCUUUUUGUAGAAUUUGCAAGGGUACCCUGAGAGUGCUUUCAGGCCUAUGGUAGAAAAGGGAAUAUCUUUCCAUAAAAGGUAGACAGAAGCAAUCUCAGAAACUGCUUUGUGAUGUGUGCAUUCAACUCACCGAGUGCAACAUUCCUCUUGAUAGAGCAGUUUGGAAACAUUGUUUCUGUAGAAUCUGCAAGUGGAUAUUUGGACCUCUUUGAGGCCUUCGUUGGAAACGGGAUUUCUUCCUAUAAACCCAGACAGAAGAAUUCUCAGAGACUUCUUUGUGAUGUGUGAAUUCAACUCACAGUGUGGAUCCUUCCUUUUGAUAGAGCAGUUUUGAAACACUGUUUUUGUAGUAUUUCCAAGCGGAUAUUUGGAACGCCUUGAAGCGUAUGGUAGAAAAGGAAAUAUCUUCUCAUAAAACCUAGACAGAACCAAUCUCAGAAACGACUUUGUGAUGUCUGCAUUCAACUCACAGAGUUGAACAUUUCUCUUGAUAGAGCAGUUUUGAAACCCUCUUUCUGAAGGAUCUGCAAGUGGAUAUUUGGACCUCCUUUGGGUCUUCGUUGGAAACGGGAUUUCUUCGUAUAAAUCUAGACAGAAGAAUUCUCCGAAAUUUCUUUGGUUGUGUGCACUCAAGUCACAGAGUGGAACCUUCCUUUGGAUAGAGCAGUUUGAAACGCUGUGGUUGUAGUAUUUCCAAGCGGAUAUUAGAGCGCCUUGAAGCCUAUGGUAGAAAAGGAAAUAUCUUCCCAUAAAACCUAGACGGAAGCAAUCUCAGAAACUACUGUGUGAUGGCUGCAUUCCACACACACGGUGGAACAUUUCUCUUGAUAGAGCAGUUUUGAAACACUCUUUCUGUAGAAUCUGCAAGUGGAUAAUUGGACCGCCUUGAGGCCUUCGUUGGAAACGGGAUUUCUUCAUGUUACUCUAGAUAGAAGAAUUCUCAAACACUACUAUGUGAUGUUUGCAUUCAAGUCACAGAGUGCAACAUUCCUCUUGACAGAGCAGUUGGGAAACACUCCUUUUGUAGAAUUUGCAAUGGGAUAUUUGGACUUCUUUGAGGCCUUCUUUGGAAACGGGAUUUCUUCAUGUAACUCUAGAUUGAAG